rnacentral:snRNA from 1 species
CCUAAUUGGUUUACAUGGUAAU